GUUUUCGUCCUGCUAAUGUGACGGAAGCCAGCAGGAGAUGCUGUGCAAUAGUAGUCAAUGGGCCUCACUCCCCCGACAGCCAAAGGAUAGUCUGGCCACUCAGGCCAGAGCCUGGGUUUUAGCUGACUGAACAGAGCAUCCGCCUG